CACGUAGGGUGCGAGCGUUGUCCGGAAUUAUUGGGCGUAAAGAGCUCGUAGGCGGUGUGUCGCGUCGGCCGUGAAAACUUGCAGCUUAACUGUGGGCGUGCGGUCGAUACGGGCAUCACUGGAGUUCGGCAAGGGAGACUGGAAUUCCUGGUGUAGCGGUGAAAUGCGCAGAUAUCAGGAGGAACACCGGUGGCGAAGGCGGGUCUCUGGGCCGAUACUGACGCUGAGGAGCGAAAGCGUGGGGAGCGAACAGG
rnacentral:rRNA from 1 species